rnacentral:rRNA from 1 species
AUUGAACGCUGGCGGCAGGCUUAACACAUGCAAGUCGAGCGAGCGGCGGACGGGUGUGUAAUGUCUGGGAAACUGCCCGAUGGAGGGGGAUAACUACUGGAAACGGUAGCUAAUACCGCAUACCAUCAGAUGUGCCCAGAUGGGAUUAGCUAGUGGGUGGGGUAAUGGCUCACCUAGGCGACGAUCCCUAGCUGGUCGGAGAGGAUGACCAGCAACAUUGGAACUGAGACACGGUCCAGACGCCUACGGGAGGCAGCAGUGGGGAAUAUUGCACAAGGGGCGCAAGCCUGAUGAAGCCAUGCCGGGUGGGUGAAGAAGGCCUUCGGGUUGGAAAGCACUUUCAGCGAGGAGGCGUUACUCGCAGAAGAAGCACCGGCUAACUCCGUGCCAGCAGCCGCGGUAAUUC